CUACCACACGUUGAAAUUGGAAUGGUGGACCACAAUUGGUGCUGCCACUUGUUUUCUAACUUUAGAAUUUGAUUAGUAUAGUAUAGCUGGCAGCCAUAUUAUUAAUUAUCCUUAGUAAGAUUAAUGAUGGACAACUUUUUUUAAUAUUUAAAUGGUAAGAGAAUAUAUAUACAUAGGCCAAUGUAUGUAUUCAUUUACUGAUUCCUUUUAACAUUUAUGUUUCUUUACUUUCCUUCUUCUUUGCUAUUUCUUAUUCCUAUGUCUUUUUCUUCUACCUCAAUUCACUUUGAAUAUUUAUUGUUUUAGAAAUAACUUUGUUAUUUAUUUAUAAUUAUGAUAACGUUGAUUUCACUGCCACCGACUUUUGGUGUAAACCCUCACAAAUUCAACUUGAUAAAAUAGAAAUUAUGAAAGAUCUUGAGAUAUAAUUAGCAAAUUAGACCGUGUGAUUAUCAUAUUUAUGAUCAUGAAGGUGUCUAUUAUUGUUGAGGUUGUUCACGAUUCUGAGGGUUUCAUUAGCGACAAAGGAUUCAAGCUCGAUUUUAGUGGAGUAUUAUUUGGAGGCUUCGUGGAAACAUAUUAUAGCUUUGGCGUCCAGAUCCGAGCACUAUCAGUUGACGUUGAUGUGACUUCUACCUUUUAAUACUGAUUUAGAGCAGGGUGAGCUUGCUAUCGUCCGAGGCUGAUCCUCCUUCAUCUUCUCUAGUUAGUCUUUUGCACUCGAGACUACUUGUGUAUAUUAUGGACAUUUUAUAUUCUUAUCUAGUACUCUGGUUAUCUGUUAGUGGUGGCUCUAGUAUUGACCUUAUCAAGUCUUGGGAGAGAUUCAUUGUAUAGUUGGUCCUUUUUCCUGCUCUUAUUUUGAUAUACUAUAUAUGCUCCCUUUUUAGUUUUCA